AGUGAGACUGACUGCGUCGGGGUUGAGACUGGGUGGAUGAGGCUCACCCCGGCGGGGAGAAGGGACGAGGAGGGGCGGACAGCGGAAGGUCCGGGAGUGUCCGCCAUAAAGUCGUUUGAGGUGACCGUUGCGUAAUUUUUUAACUUCUAGUCAUGGCGAAUGAUCGCAGGAGAGCACAGACUGGACCCUGCUACGAUCUCUCUUGGAGUGGAUCAGACUGAUGAUCACCAACAACCAACUCAUUCCCGGAUAAGGAAGAAGAGAGUGUCACCUACUUCAGUGUGGUUUCAACCCUACUUCUGCAUCUUAAAGACACUGUAUGGUUUCAGCAGUAGUGCCCCUGUUCAUUAGUCCCCCUGAUGUUUUCAUUCCUCAUCUCAUCUUUUUCUUAGCAGCAUUCAAUGAAUCCUUCAUUCUAGAAACACUCUAUAUCUUUGGUUUUCAUGAGACCAUUCUCACCUUGUUUUGUCCUGUGACUUUUUUGAAAAAAACAAAAACAAAAAACCCUUUUUUUCUUUUUAAAUUCUGGUAAAAAACACAAUGAAAAUUUGCUAUCUUAACCAUGUUGAAAUGUGCAG
rnacentral:lncRNA from 10 species